rnacentral:rRNA from 1 species
UACGGAGGGGGCUAGCGUUGCUCGGAAUUACUGGGCGUAAAGCGCGUGUAGGCUGACCGGAAAGUCGGGCGUGAAAGCCCUGGGCUCAACCCAGGAACUGCACUCGAAACUCCCGGUCUAGAGUGGUGGAGAGGGAAGUGGAAUUCCUGGUGUAGAGGUGAAAUUCGUAGAUAUCAGGAGGAACACCAGUGGCGAAGGCGGCUUCCUGGACACCAACUGACGCUGAGACGCGAAAGCGUGGGGAGCAAACAGG